rnacentral:lncRNA from 1 species
GACCUGGGGCACAGGACUGGACCUGGGGCACAGGACUGGACCUGGGGCACAGGACUGGACCUGGGGCACAGGACUGGACCUGGGGCACAGGACUGGACCUGGGGCGGAGGGGCACAGGACUGGACCUGGGGCGGAGGGGCACAGGACUGGACCUGGGGCGGAAGGGCACAGGACUGGACCUGGGGCACAGGACUGGACCUGGGGCGGAGGGGCACAGGACUGGACCUGGGGUGGAGGGGCUAGGGGUAUAAGACUGGACCUGGGGUGGAGGGGCACAGGACUGGACCUGGGGUGGAGGGGUACAGGACUGGACCUAGGGGUUAGUUGAUAGGCAGAAGGGUGGAGUGGGGUCAGCCUGUAUCGCCCUCCAGGGACCAGGGGUUAGUUAUCUAAGCUUUCUUCUCCUCCAGUAUGUUGUGCAGUUCGUCAGCAUCCUCUGCUGUUUUGACCCUGAUGAGCAUGGCGACAGGGUUGGUAGGGUUGUUGUGGUCCACCACAGGGUUAGGAACACAAAUCACCAUCACGUUGUUCUUCCCCAUUCUGGAACAGGGUAUGGAAGGCUGGACCAUGAUGUUCAACAGGAUGUUACCUGGAGGAGAGAGAGAGAGAGAGGGGGUUGUUAUUGAUGAGGUCUGGAGCGGGAUGUUACAGACAGACAGGUUAUUGAUGAGGUCUGGAGCGGGAUGUUACAGACAGACAGGUUAUUGAUGAGGUCUGGACCGGGAUGUUACAGACAGACAG